rnacentral:rRNA from 1 species
CCUUUUGUAGAAUGAACCGGCGAGUUACGAUCUGAUGCAAGGUUAAGCAGAAAAUGUGGAGCCGUAGCGAAAGCGAGUCUGAAUAGGGCGAAUGAGUAUUUGGUCGUAGACCCGAAACCAGGUGAUCUACCCUUGGUCAGGUUGAAGUUCAGGUAACACUGAAUGGAGGACCGAACCGACUUACGUUGAAAAGUGAGCGGAUGAACUGAGGGUAGCGGAGAAAUUCCAAUCGAACUUGGAGAUAGCUGGUUCUCUCCGAAAUAGCUUUAGGGCUAGCCUCAAGUGAUGAUUAUUGGAGGUAGAGCACUGUUUGGACGAGGGGCCCCUCUCGGGUUACCGAAUUCAGACAAACUCCGAAUGCCAAAUAAUUUAACUUGGGAGUCAGAAUGUGGGUGAUAAGGUCCAUAUUCGAAAGGGAAACAGCCCAGACCACCAGCUAAGGUCCCAAAAUAUAUGUUAAGUGGAAAAGGAUGUGGCGUUGCCCAGACAACUAGGAUGUUGGCUUAGAAGCAGCCAUCAUUUAAAGAGUGCGUAAUAGCUC